AUAUGAGCAUGUUGUGGUUUGGGAUUAGUGUCUUUUGAAUGCCUGGAAUCGGAUAAGCACAGGGGAAAAUACUGUGAAUCACAACAAAAGAGUUCCAGCUGCACAGGCUUUGAAGUGUGUCAAACAUGUAUGAAGAGGGGCUUCAUAGACGGGAAGAGUUAGUUCAAAAAUCCCCCCUUACACAAGAAUUGUGCCUCCUUCUCUCCCUCCCUCCUUGCCUAUCUCUCUGUCUCCUGCUCAUGUUAGAUCCUGCCUGCUUUGGCGGUGCUUGAAACCCCACCUCCUCUCCCUCCCUCCCUCUCUCUCUCUCUCUCUCUCUCUCUCUCUCUCUCUCUCCGUCUCUCCCCUCCCCGUCUCAGGCAGUGUGGAAUCCUGGCUGUGUUUAAUUGGCGAGUGGCAGGCGGGCUUGGGAGACAGAGCAGGAGUGUGGGAGAUCUAAGGAAGCAAUUGGGACUCACAUGGAGAGGCAACUGCUCUCACUGGCUUUACGAGCCGCGACUUUGACUUUCUGAAAGAGAGAGAAAGAAACCGGGAAAGGGAGGAAGAAACUAAAACAGAGAGGUGGAGAACCAGUGACGUAGAGAUUGUGAGGGGGUGAAUUGACUGAGAAAUUUUACAGAGUAGACAGAGAAGGGUUAAGAAUAUGGAAAAAAAGGAAGGGAGAGAUAGAGUGAGGAAAUGACAGAAGGAGCAACAAAGUGCAAACAGAAUGAAGGAUAGGUACAGGAAAGGCUGCAAUGGAGUGAGAGAAUAGUGUGGGGGGGGAGGUGGGAGAGAAAGAGGCCCACCGCUGGAGAGAGGGCAACAGCACUAACUGCAUACGGGAAAUGACAGAAGUUGAGGAGAGAGAGGGAGAGAGGGAAAGAGAAAGAGAGAAAAGAGGGAAAACAAGGGGAAGUUAGAAAAGGAAGGAAGGGGGAGGUGAGUCUUGAAAGGGAUAGAAAAAGUGGUAGAGGAGAAGUUGAAAGAAACAGCAUGUGAGAAAAGGGAACAGAAUGGGGAAAAGGAGAGAAAGACAGUAGAGUGUGAGAAAAAGACCUACGCAGAUGAGAAAAACAGCCUUAGUGAAUGGCCUGGGUGGGGAAAGAGAGAGGAGGUAACUGGUUGUUUUGUAAGUCGUCAGCCUGGGCAGCUUUUAGUCUCCUACUGCUAUGCACUCAGAGAAGGUGGCAAAAGGACAACGUGCCCUCCAUCCAGCCCAGGACUACUGCCACCUCUGCCUACAACAGGGACCAGCAUUAACACAUUACAGGCAUGAGCUCAGUGAUGUGCAAUGUCCACCUUUGGAGCCCAGCCUAAGGUCACACGUGUGGAGGGAGGACUUGUCUUUACCCUUUCCUCUUGAUCUGGAAACACUUGAGGACAGGUCGGGGAACCAUAAUCAUCAUGACCUGCAGAGACGGCAGGUCUACUUGGGGCCAAACCAUUACACUGUGUCUGAGAGGUGUAGCCCACCGUGCUACUUGUGGAGGGAGGUGAGGGUACCUAGAUGGGACCCCUGGCAUCCCCCAUCCACAUGUGUGUGGGAGAGAUCAGCACUGGCCCAUCAUGGGCAAGAGGUCACUGAUGGGCGACUGGCAGGCGGGCUUGAGAGACAUAGUGACUGUGGCUCUGGGAGGGACUGGUACCAGCAUGAGCAGCCACACCCCCUCAAUGGUGGCCCCAUGCUGGCAAAGGUCAGGAGCCAGCGGUACUACAGGGAAGCUCGGAAUGUGUCAGAGGAGCAUCACUUGGACUGCAUGAGCGAGAAAUAUCACCAGAAUACACAUCUACCAAAGCUAGAAUGGAACAAUAGACAUAAAUUUGGAUACAAUGGACACUGUGAAAGGAGGCAUGUUACUUUUGAGGGCCAUGAUGAUGGACACAGCGUAGAGAAUAAUGGACCAGCCAGUCCUAUCAAGAACCACUAUAAUGGAGCUAAGGCAUUCUUUUCAACUGAGGUUCCCCAGAGCAAGUUUACAGUCUCCAAGACAUCAGGACCUAAGCGGCCAAUGAGUGGAAUCCAUUGUGGAGAAACCAAACUGAGUCAAGCAGACAGGUCAGAGGUUGGGGGAAGCCAGAGUAACCACAGGAAGAGCCAGGGAACAGUGCGCGAGCAGAUCAAACAAGUGGUGACGGAGUUAGAGGAUGUGCUCAGUGGCCUCAAACAGGUUCAAAUGGAGAUGAAAGAGGUGGUCCAACAGAUUGAUGUUCUGACUUCCGACAUUGACCUGGGAGAAGAGGAGCAAGGACUAUUCAAUGGUCUGCCACAGGAAUCCACGCACCAAGCCAAACGUAUUGGAGUUGUGGCGCUUGUCCAUAAUGCAAACAGAGAUGCAGAAUCACCACAAAGAGACAGCACACGUGCCAUUGUCAAAUCACAGACCACUCGUUCCCUGUCAGACCAUAGCUUGUCUGCUGUGAUUUCCUCUCUCCCUGACAGUCAUUCUGCCACAAAGAUCCACACGAACCCAUCCACCCAAAUUCAUGGUCUGGUGACUGUUGAGUCUGCACAAAGCAGCCAGAUGAAUCAUACGUCUGCUCUGGAGAUUCAGAGGACAAGGAGCACUGCCAAUGGAGACUGCCUGCGAGCCAGACCUCCCAGAGCCAAAGUCAAAGAGCUCCAGUAUCUAAGAAAUAGAACAGAUCAUACAAAGAAUCCCGACCCUCCUUAUCCUCUAGCACCAAUUAGCUCGGCUAAAACCCAGAGACCCCCACCGUACCCACAAAAUGGACUGGUCAAAGCGCCCUCGAGGGAUUCGAAUGUUCUGAAGACGCCUCCUUACCCUGGAAAACAGAAACAGCUAACCUCCACCAUGGUGUAAAGGUGGGGUGACAAGGGAAGUUCCACUGGCUCAGAGCUCUGACUGCACUCAUGAGGACAACACACACCCACACACACAGACACACAAAGAACGUAAAUAGGAUGCUUUUUCCCCUCAGCAUCCACAUGGUUAGGUAACACAGGGUGAGUGGACAAUGGGUGCUCUCAAAAGGCGAUUUUCAGCAUGAAUAUAUAUUUGCAUUUGUGUGAGUGUGUUGCCAUAGUACUUGACGGACAAAUGUGCGUGCACACUGUAAUGAACAGCAUUUACUUAUAAAGUAUUAAAUUGAUCUGUAAAGGUAUUUGGCCUAUAUUGAAAGAGGAACAAAAAACCAUCAACUUCACCAAGACUCCUUCUCGUUUAGUCAUUCAUCCUGAGAAGCAGAGGAGGUUGAAGUUGAAUCAUUUCUACAGAAACUGAAACUCUGCCAUUUGUGAAAACGCAAAACACACAUUUGCCCGCUAACAUGGUUCUAAUGUGAGUCACGAACGAUUUGUUCCAUCUGUUUGCCCGUAGACUGCGCUUCAGUUCUCAGGUUUCUGGUUGUGUUGUUGUUUUCCUGCGUGCUGGAGUCAGUGGUUGUGAGUGCUGCGUAUUUCAGACCUAAUCAACUCAGGCGAGUGUGAAGGAGAUUGGCUCAUUGUGGGCCCUGAAGCAUGCAGCUUUUCCAUAUUAUUCAUCAAUCCUGCAUGCAAUCAAACAUGUUUUGAUUCUAAAAAAUAAUGGAUUAUUUACAGUAUUUAUGAGUAGAGAACAAAAGUUUAAAAAGGAGCUUGAAGCUAUACUAAUGUUCUGCUUUAGUUUAAGUGUUAGCUGAUGAGAGUCACAUGACUGAUUAGCCUGUAUGAUGAACAUGUGGAAAUUGAUUGUGUUUAAGUAAGAGGAUCACAUAAUGACCUAUGGGUGCAAUCACUUGGAAAGUAUUUGGCGUGCUUCAGCUUAGCAGUGGCAGGAAAUGGUGAUUUUUAAAAGCUAAACAUUUAUCUUGCAUCACUCUGGUUUUCAGUCUUCAAACUUCUGAAACAAUCCUGUGUGUACAGGAAGAGCCUGAUUUUUUCCCUGCCAUGUUUUGAAAACAGUGGUUGAGGUUUGGCAGACACUGCUUGCCACCCUCUGUUGGACGGAAUGUGCUAUGACGGGCUAUUUUUCACUCUCCAGCCAUGUUUGUCAGUCUGGUUUUGAUUAUACGCCACCUGGCUCGGUGCUAGACUGAAGGAGGGCGGAUUUGUAUAGUAUUUGCAUUGCAAAAUGGUAGUUGCCUACAGCUGGGAGGACACAUGACUUACCUCAUCACCCAAAGCAGGAAGCAUAGAGAAGUAAACAUGAGCUAAACAAAUGCUCUGUCCACACAUCCCAGCAGUGUUUUAAUAACACUUGCUUAGAGUGGACAGUCAGUGUACAUUAACCUUUGACCAGAUAAAGAAACUGGUUUUGAGUCUUUAGGCCUCAAAAAAUGACUUCCUUUACAGCAGUGGCUGCUAUGAACGUUUCAUUAUUUCCUGGUGGUAUUCAUUAAAAUGCAAUCUAACUUCCCACAGUCUGACAGAAGACCUGUGUGUGUGUGUGUGUGUGUGUGUGUAUGAAUCCCACACAGACUAUAAACUCUACGUGGUUACGAGUGUCUCAGCAUAUGGUGCUCUGGUAGCCUGACCUGAUUGUGGUUUAUUGAGUUAACAUUCCAAAUGUCCCAGGAUCUAGUGUGUUAAAAUACUGUGCGAAUAGUUUCACUAUAGCAAAUAUUUCACCUGUGCCAAACCAGAGACACAAAAAAACCCUUCUGCCAUACCAUUAAAUAGCUCGUCAUUGCCCACUGAAUGACUCAAUAAAGAGAUAAGCAUGUCUAAUUUCCAAGUCAAUUUAAACUAGCACCACUAAUUAAAUGCAGUACAAGGAAACAAAACCGUAUGGACUUUCAUCUUUUUGAUAUGAGUGCUGUAAAAAAAAAAAAAAAAAAAAAAAAAAUUCUGAACGCGAACGAAAUAAAACGAGAAGGCUUUUUAUUUCAGAACGCCGUGUGGAUAAUAAACCCUGUCUUUCAGAAAGCCUUGACCUGACAAUACUGCACUUAUUUUCACUCCAGACUCACUGAGAUGUGCAGACACUUAGUAUGAUUCAGCAGAUAACAGGACCCUUUUGGUUAUUUUCAGGAGGUUUAACGUCACCGGAAUGAAAAACCUGACUGGAGUGCAUCGGGUAGAACAGGCAUCAGUCUGAACAUACACGCAUUUAUAUAUAUAUAUAUAUAUAUAUAUAUAUAUAUAUAUAUAUAUAUAUAUAUAUAUAGUAAAUUAACCUAUAAAAGGCAUACAUAAGCACCAUUGGUCAGAGAACACACCAUACCAUUAUAGAAACACUCUUUUAUGUUCAAUUUCUAUUCUGAGAGACUGACUUAGUCUUUUAAAUCAAUUAUUAUAGAUUCAGCAGAUCAAGGUAGUUUUAAGACUUACAUCAGUCAGGCUGGCAUGGUAGGUUACCAUGGUUACAGUGUUAGUGUAAGGACCAAUUUUUAUACCUGCGAGACAGACUAACAGCUCAAAGACAUCACAGUCCUACAUAACCUACAUAUAGUGUAUGAGAACAGAAAUGAAGAGAAAAAUGAUACAGCCCCAAUUCCAAAAAAGUUGGGACGCUGUGUAAAAUGUAAAUGAAAACAGAAUGCAAUGAUUUGCAUAUAUCAUAAAUCCAUGUGCUAUUCACAAUAGAACAUAGAAAACAUCCGAAAACAUAGGGACCAUCCGGCUUUUUAUCAAUGCUCAGUUUAAAGGCCUGCAUCUCUGAUGGUAUGGGGGUGCAUUAGUGCCUAUGGAAUGGGCAGCUUGCACAUCUGGAAAGGCACCAUCAAUGCUGAAAGGUAUAUACAGGUUUUAGAGUAACAUAUGCUUCUAUUCGGAUUCCAUCCCAUCAUUAAUUCUGAGAGACUCUGCCUCUCUAAGAUACUCUUUUUAUACCCAAUCAUGUGACUGGCCUUUUGCCAAUUAACCUAAUUAGUUGCAAAAUGUUCCUCCAGCUGUUUCUUUUUACUAACACUUACUUUUCCAGCCUUUUGUUGCCCCGUCCCCACUUUUCUGAGACGUGUUGCGGCCAUCAAAUUCAAAAUGACCUUAUUUUUUCCUUAAAAUGGUACACUUCCUCAGUUUAAACAUUUUAUACGUUUUGCAUGUUCUAUUGUGAAUAACAUAUGGGUUUAUGAGAUCUGCAGAUCAGUUUUUACUGACAUUUUACACAGCGUCCCAACUUUUUUGGAAUUGGGGUUGUAUAUACAAUUCUAAUAAUAUAAUUAGAUAUAUUGAUACACAUACAAACAAAAUGGUAUAAGAAGGUGCAUAAUUUGUGAUUGUUAUGAAAAGCAAAAGGUUGUUAGGACAACCUAGCAGAUUUACUUUAGUCAUGACGCCCUGUUUUUCACUCUCGUCCUAGAUCGAUAGCAUUUUAUAAGCAGUGUAACUUGUUCCAAAUGUACGCUCUGGCACCUCUGGUGCUGCAUUUAAACCGUGGCAAAAGCAACACUCUGAAAAGCUCUCUCCUAAUCAGCGUGCUGUCCUCCAGCGCCGAAAACAUUAAUCACACUCCUAAAUCACAGUGUAAAACAAGAACAGACUUGGUAUAAUGCCAUCCUACAUUACAUUUUUGUAGUGCCGCUAAUAUUUUGGCUCUAAUAUGAGCUAUUAUUCAAAUGUAGAGAUUAAAAACUACAAAUGAAUGAGGCAGUAAAAGUAGCAUUUUAGUUUGUUGAUGGACUUCUACAGUUGUGUGCAAAAGUCUUCAUGCACUUAGGACGAAAUGAAGAUUGUGUUUAAUUGUGUUAGGCUGGGACACGUUAACAGUAGUCAAAUACUAUGUGUUAUGAUAUCACUAGUGAAAGAAAUCAAAAUGAAAUCAGUGCAAAAGUUUGCAUCACCUACUUUAAAUGUAAAAAUUUGCAUGCCACAAACUUUGCCUUUACAGCUCCCUUUAACCUCUGUUGUGUCCUCAUUAACUUUGGCCAAUGUCAUACAUUUCAGAUGAAGUCUCCAGAAUGACAAAAUCAUGGCCAAACAAUUUUCACACAGUUUUUUUUUUUUUUUUUUUUUUUUUGCAUUUAACAGUCUGCAACAUCUGUGCCAAGUUAAUGAUUGAAGCACAGAUAAAACUGUGAUAACCUUGCACUUUUUUGUGCUAUAAAAAUCUCUUUUUUUAAGCUGAAUUAUUCUAAAUGUUUUAUUUAUUUAUUUAUUUUUUAUUGCAGGGAUCCCACAAAGAAGAGAUACAUCUAACAGCAGUGCAUGGACAUCUUACUAGAACUUUCCCGUGGAAAACACUAGAAAUGACCUGUCCUGUUCUGUGCUGUCAGCCCCCCCUUCCCUUCAAUCCUGACUGCACUACAGCCAUCAGAACAAGUUGCCCUUUUUGCCAUACCUGUGAACCAGCCUCUGAGUUUUCGCCCCUUAAAAGCACUUAAGGCACUACAGAGGAAUAGCUGCUCCUAAACUGGAAAACAAAAAAAAAGUCUAGACUCCCGUCUUGACUCCCAAAUAUUAUGCAACAUAUUUCUAAAGCUUGCAUAGGAUUUGAAGCCUGUGAAUGAACUGUUCAGACGACCAAAGAGAAUUGAAAGUCUUUUAUAAGUCUUUACUAUUGGUUAAAUCUUUAAGAGCAAAAAGCUACAGUGUCAAAUGGUUAUAUUCAACCUGUGUCUCGGCAUCAGUCUGUAAACCCUACACUUUAUACUGCAAUUAGUUCAUGAGCUAUUUAAAGCCAGUGUAAGGCAUUUAGUUUUGUAUUUAAUAUGUAUCAUUGAUAUAUGCUGUCCAGAAGAGGGCACUACAGGCCAUAAAUGUGUUCCUGAACUUUUAUGACACUCACAGGAAAUAAAAAAAGGAGACAUUUGGAACAUAUUCCGAUUAAGUCAUGUCUUCAUUUCAAAUCAACGUACAAGUUUACUUACUGUAUCUACCUAGAUAAGUGUAUGUACCUUAAAAAUCUUAUGAAAUAACUUGCUGUUUUAUGCAGCAUGAAAACUGAUUUAACAUGCAGAGAUACCAGAAGUAUGGUUUCUAUAGAAUAUUUGCACAGUUGAGUACAGUGUCUCCAGUCUUGACAGUGUCUGUGUCUGUAUUUAUUUAAGUCUUGAAUGAGAAUUUUAUCACUCUUGCCUGAGAAGACCCUCUUCCCUAUCCCCCCCCCCAAAAAAAACCCCCAACAACAAUAGAAACCAUACAAAUAAUAAAUAGAAACAAUACAAAUAAUAGAAUUUGUAAUGGUUUUAAUUGCGAUAAUCGUAAUUAUAUUGGUUUUAAUUGAAACUCUAACGGUCCCUGUGGGUCACUACUGGUACUUUGUUGCCUUCUAUUGCUGGCAUGUUAUGUCUAGCGGAUACCAUUCAGGACCAAUAAUAGUAAUGGUUUUAAUGGUUAACAGCUGAUGGAUUGUAAUGGUAUUUGUAGUGGCAUCCAUUAGAAUUUCUGUGAUGGUUUGUAUUGUUUUUUUCAGCAGAAAUGCCAAUAGCACCGAGGGCUGUGUCUCAAUUCUGAGACCGCCAAGUACAGUAUGUUAUAAUUAAUCAAUAUCAUAAUGUAAUAGUUACACUCAUAUACACACUAACUUGUGCCUGACUUGAUGCACAUUAGCAGACCUACUGUCAUGGGGAGACAACUGGGCACGUUGUUGUUCCAUUCCUGGGCUGAGUGAGUUCCCAGGGGAAGCUCUGACAUGUGAGCAAGGACACUUUGAUCAAAAUAUGUAAUUUAUGUCCAUGUUUCCAACAGCACAACUGCUUGUCAGCCUGGAUGCAAAUACAGCCUGAUGCUAGUGUUGAUAAAUUCAAAAGUGGUUAUUAUUCCAUAUCCACGUCACAUUUUUCUACUCUGACUGGUCAGAAGACUUGAUUAAUUAAAAAAAAAGGUUUGUUUUUUUUAUGGCAGCAGGUAUGACAAUAGUUCUGUCUGUAAAUCAAGUCAGUUUAUUAAUGAGCUCAUUCCAAUAUCAUGUCUAUAGUAACAACUAAUACAGGAAUUUAAAUGUAGAACACUCCACAUAAGAAAUUAUAAGAUUUUUAUGGUGGUUCGAUUCCCAGCCCACAUGAUUCCACAUGCCGAAGUGUCCUUGGACAAGACACUAAACCCCAAGUUGCUCCCGAUGGCAAGUUAGCGCCUUGUGUAGCAGCUCUGCUAUUUGGUGUGUGAGUGUGUGUGUGUGAAUGGGUGAAUGAAACACAGUGUAAAGUGCUUUGGAUAAAAGCACUAUAUAGGUGUGCUAUUUACCAUUUACUUAACAUUAAUGGAAGUGUCAAUGCUUUGUAACAGUCAGUAGGUUUUCCACCAUGAAGGAGUCUUCAGGAGAGAAGACAUUACACUAUCUGGUUCCUCUCUAACACACCAUGCUGCCUUUUUGUCUUAUUGACUUAAAGAGAAAUAGAAAAACGAGAGGCUGGUCAUAGAACAACUGCUAAUAUCUGUUUAUAACUUAAUCGAUAACGGUAACUAACUUGUUUCAAAGGCAUUCAACAACAUGAAAUGUAACUAUAAAUGAUUAAACUACAAUGUAAUUCAUUAAAAUAUUUAUAUUGUAAUGCAAAUUGCUGUAGUAUAAGAUUAAUAAAAG
ensembl:lncRNA